AUUGUGACAUGUUAAACAAAAACGCCGCGGUGUACGCUGCCGGGCGUUUUGAUGGGG
rnacentral:sRNA from 27 species